GACGUAGGGCGCGAGCGUUGUUCGGAAUUACUGGGCGUAAAGCGCACGUAGGCGGCUUUGUAAGUUAGAGGUGAAAGCCCGGGGCUCAACUCCGGAACUGCCUUUAAGACUGCAUCGCUUGAAUCCAGGAGAGGUGAGUGGAAUUCCGAGUGUAGAGGUGAAAUUCGUAGAUAUUCGCAAGAACACCAGUGGCGAAGGCGGCUCACUGGACCGGUAUUGACGCUGAGGUGCGAAAGCGUGGGGAGCAAACAGG
rnacentral:rRNA from 1 species